CUCAAACACUCGGAUCCCUCGUAGAGAGGGAGGGUGUUUCCAGCGGUCCACCUUGUGUGUGACACAGCGUCUGGCGCCCGCAGGCCCGCGCUUUUCGGACUCCAGCGUUUCCCUCCGGAGAAACUGCUUUAGGAAGACGUUGCUCAGUUCCUUUUAUCCCACAGUGGUGCUCUCCUGAAUGUCGAAAUGCCUGUUAAGAGAUCACUGAAAUUGGAUCACCUCUUAGAAGCAAAAUCAUUUGAUUCUUCAAAAAUCACAAGGAAGAACAGUAUUACAACUUACUCUCCAACAACUGGAACUUGUCAGAUGAGCCCAUUUGCUUCUCCUGCAAGCUCUAAAGAACAAGACCACAAAAGUGAACCAUCAAAUGGAAAGAGGAAAAAAAUGAAUCACCUCAGUUUAAAUGAAAGGAAGGAAUCUACAACAAAAGACGAUGAAUUCAUGGUGUUGCUAUCUCAAGUUGAAAAAUCAUCAGAAGAAAUCCUGGAGAUAAUGCAAAAUUUAAGUAGUAUACAGGCUUUGGAGGGCAGUAGAGAGCUUGGAAAGCUCAUUGGUAUCUCCCGUAUGUCAUGUUUCUUCUUACAAAAAGAAAUGCAGAAAACGAAAGAACUAAUGACAAAAGUAACAGAACAAAAACUCUUUGAAAAGAAGAAUUCAGGACCUCCCAACAAAGAAUUAUAUCAUCUUGACAGCUAUGAAUUCCUUAAAGGCAUUUUAAACUGAGUUCCCUAUGGAUUCAGCAAUGAUUCUGACCAAUAGCAAGUACAAAAAGGGACUAGGAGUCCAAUGAGGAUCCAAGUAUCAACUUAAUUAGUUGGAGGAAUUGAUAACCUCCAACAUGGCAGAUCCUCUGGCAGAAACUUGGGUCAUGAUCAAUCGAUGAAACUUCUCUGCAUGGUCUGGCAUUAUAACAGAGGACAGGAUUUGGAUUACACGUCCCGUACCCGCUCUGCUACCUACUUAGCUCUGUGGCCUUAAACAUUUAGAAGAAAUGCACUUACUAUGGACACCAACUUCUUCUGCAUCUGCCUGAUCAUAUUUAAAGGAACAGAAGAAAUGUUUGUAAUUAAUCUGCCCAGUAAAUACCAGAUCAUAGCACUAGGCAGGUGUGUGUCUAGAUAAAAUUUCUUGCAGCUAAUUUAAACUUUCUACACACAGCAGUAGAUAAUCUCAAUGUAAAUAAUACAUUUCUUCUUGACCCUUUAAUGUAAGCCAACAUGUAGAACAAGAUCUUGACUUCAAUUCUGUAUCACAUACACUUCUGUAUACUUUUAGCAUUUGUGGAUAGACUUAGAACAUUUAUGAAAAUGGCACAUUUGGUAAAACUGUGUUUUAAAGAUCAGAUUAAAUCUAAUGGUGAGUGGAAUUAGGUACCACUUUCCCAUUUAAAGCCCCAGAUGUGUAUUAAUUAGAUUUUUUUACACUUACAGAAUUUUUCAAGUUUAUUGUAUAGCCACUGUCUCGGGGACGAGUCUUUAUUAUAUUCUAGUUAUUCCUAUGUUUGUGCAGAAAAACUAUUUCAAUGUUUAAAAAUUUUUAUACCUUUUAUAGAAUAGUGGAAUGCAUUUUUCAGUACAUUUUAAAAUAUGCAGUUCUUAAACUGAACUACACACUGUACUGAAUUGAAAGGACCUUUCUUAUGGGUCAGGAAUCAUUUUGAUUCCUUCCAAAUGAUUUUGAAACAUUAUUUUAAAUUUCUAUUUUUCUGUGGUGUUAUUUUGUAUUAUAAUCAUCUGUACUCUCACGAAACAAGGGGAAUAGGGUAUCACAGGAUGUGUUAUGACUUGAUAACACGGUUUUUUAAAACUUCUGUAUUUUUCUUUGACCACUUCUGCAGGGGAAAAAAUGCUAUUCCCUUGGUACUUGCCCUAAGUCUUGAUAAAAUUUGUGGAAGAUACUACUGUAUCAUGAAAUAAAAAUACUGUAUGAAAAUCUGAAACAAAAUUUAACUUGUUUGAAAAUAACUGAUUUUCCAUUUAGAGAAAUUUCAGAUUUACUUCUUAAAAUGAAAAUGGGUUUUACGAACUAUUAAAUGACAUAGAUACUAAAUAGUAACCCAAUUAACUAUUAAACCUAAUUGCCUUCACUAAUGACUUUAUUGGUACUAUUUAAAUAAGACUUUUAAGAUAAUCUGCUAAAUAUUAAGAACACUUUGUGAUACAGUCCUUGUAAUAGGAUAUUACCGAAAAUAUACCAAAAAGAAUAAUUCUUUUUGUGUUCUAGCACUGAAAACUAACCUUAGGAUGUAAAGCCAAAGCAUAUAAAGAAACUUACAUUAGUCAGGAAUUAAAGGGUUAAGAAGUAGUUUAGUUUCAUAUGUAAUGCAAGUUAUGUAGGUGUGUGCUUAAUGCUAUUAAAUCAGUUACUGUAUGUUUGACCUCUUGAUAUACUAAGCUUUUGCCUUUCAGAACAGCUGGGUCUGCUAAGAAUCAUUUCCCAGUCCUCUUCAUUGUAGAUCAGAUGACUCUCGCUUUAUCACCCUUGGAGGCCACAUGAAGGACAAAGCAGAAAGAUCCACACACAAAACUAAUGUUUAUAUGGGGGGGAGGGGGUGCAGCAUGGAGGAAGGCGGGGGAUACACUUGGCCCUGAUCUUCCAAUGAACAUAACAGAAGAGAGACCAAUUGAGACUUGAAACCCGUGUUACUCCAACCAUUAUUUAGUUACAUCCUAUCCAUCUUUUACUCUUUCUAUUGAACAGAGAGGCUCCUUUGGCUGCCCUGACUUUUGUAAAUGUUUCACUCACUUAGUUGUGGUUUAUCAUUUGGACAGAAUGCUACAUCUGGGAUUUUUCUCCCCUCCUUAAGGCCUCAAAGGAAAAUGGCUUCUGUAUGCUUCAUAUUUGAUACAUGAACAUACACCCUGUUCUCUUCAUUUUAAGAAGCAAACCUAAGUUUAUUGGCAACAGAGAAAACUGCAUUUCUCAGAAAGGGCCCUUCCCUCUAAAACGAACUUGAAAAUAACUUAGAAGGGUUCAUUUUUUUGACAGAUUAGUGAAGUGAGAAAUCUUUAAUAUUUUUGCAUUACCUAAAUAUCUUUAUAUUUAGAUAUCCCAGUAAUCCUGUCACUGAAAUACUUUAGAAUUGCCUAUUUCUGUGUUUUUAAUUCAUCACUGGACAUUUUUGGUAUUUUGUUUUUGUUUUUUAAUGUUUAUUUUUGAGAGAGAAAACAAAGCAGGGGAGUGGCAGAGAGAGAGCAAGACACAGAAUCUGAAGCAGGCUCCAGGCUCUGAGCUGUCAGCACAGAGCCCAACACAGGGCUUGAACCCAUGACCAUUAGAAGUCAGACGCUUAACCAACCGAGCCAUCCAGGUGCCCCCAUUUUUGGUAUUUUGCAACCUAAUCCAAGUUCAGAGUGGACUCUUCUUAAAUUGGUUUCUAACAGAUAGUUAAGACAUACUUGACUUAUAAUUGCUACAAGUCUCCAUAAAAGCUACAAUGUUAACUCAGUAUGACUAGGUUAAAUCAUCUAGAAAAUGUAUAAAGAAUUUGCCCUUAACAUCCUUUGAAUAUGUACAUAUUCUAUUAAUAUUUACAUACUUUUUCAAAUAAUGUUUCUCUGUUCCAGUUAUUCAGAAGUUAGAACUUCCUCAUCGAUUUAAAUCAACAUCCUGUGUUAAACCUAUGUAUGCUAUUCCAAAAAAUAAAAAAUAAAAAAAUAGGACUACACCAGCCAGCCAAGAUGCUGACAUUUGGGCACAGUGAUUACAGAUGGUGACCAUGGACAGCAGUGUUCCUGCUGAUUCGGCAGUGAUUCAAGGCUGCUUUUCUGUGCUGACCUGCCCUUUGAGUCUUUAUGCACAUUUGCUUCGAAAAAGAAAUACUUCCUGAUUUUUGCUUUGUCUAAAUCUAUUUACUUCCUUUAUCAGACUUAGAAGUACAUACCUUCUUGUAUCAGCCUGUGGCUGUCCAUGUCUAGAACCAAAUUUUCUUUGUGUAUAUGUGUUCAUUGUUUUAAAAUGUAUCACCAGUCAAUAUACUUUAAUGGCUAUCUUAUGAAAGAAAUAUAUUCAUUAAAAACACACGAUGUGA